GAGUAGAAGGAGGGUGAGGAUCCAGGAAGGCACAGGUGUCCAGACGCCACCCUAGCAGAGAAGGUGAGUAACACAUCCAGAGCAGCCACCCAGAAGCCUGACACACCUGGAGCUGUUGGGAAUCACGUCUUUACGCAUAGAAAAUCCAAAAGUGGAGGAGUGGACAUUGCAAUUGUCUACAUGCUGCUUAUAGAUUACUGAUGACCCGACAAGACAGACUGCACAUAAGACUGGGCAGUGCUCUGUAUGAUUUGGUGAUGUUCAGUACAGGAGCUCCACAGGAGACGGUGCUGUCUUCCUGCUCUCCUUGCAAACCUCAGAACUUCUUUGUAACUUUGGGUCAUGCCACCUGCAGAAAUGCUCUGAUUACUCCACAGUGGUUGGAUGAGGUUGGAAAGUGGCAUGAGGAGCAGUACAGAGCACUACUGGAUAAUUUUGUGGAGUCUUGAAGAAAUUGUCUGCUUCUGGAUGCAAAUAAAAGACAGAGGACAGCUAUAGAGCUUGUGGACCAGGAUGUUGAUGUGGUGGAAGGGUACCUGGACAUCCAUGUCAGCAACAGGCUGAAUCAAUACAGAGGCUGUAUGCCAAAAAGGUACAAACAGGCUCUGUUUUCUAUCGGAAGAGAUGAUUUUUCAAUGUGUACAGCAAAAUGUUGGAGAUUUUCUAUCAGUCUGUUGUGAUGAGUGUACUGUACUUUGCUGAGGUCUACUUGGGGAGCAGCAUAGGAGGUAGUGACUCCAGCACUGGUUAACUAAUGAGGUAGGCUGGUCUGUGGCUGUACAGACCCAGCCCAGAAGCUGUGGUGGAGAGGA